UACGUAGGGCGCAAGCGUUAUCCGGAAUUAUUGGGCGUAAAGAGCUCGUAGGCGGUUUGUCGCGUCUGCCGUGAAAGUCCGGGGCUCAACUCCGGAUCUGCGGUGGGUACGGGGCAGACUAGAGUGAUGUAGGGGAGACUGGAAUUCCUGGUGUAGCGGUGAAAUGCGCAGAUAUCAGGAGGAACACCGGUGGCGAAGGCGGGUCUCUGGGCCGAUACUGACGUGAGGAGCGAAAGCGUGGGGAGCGAACAGG
rnacentral:rRNA from 1 species